rnacentral:rRNA from 1 species
GGAGGACCAUCUCCCAAGGCUAAAUACUCCCUAGUGACCGAUAGUGAACCAGUACCGUGAGGGAAAGGUGAAAAGCACCCCGGAAGGGGAGUGAAACAGUUCCUGAAACCGUGUGCCUACAAGUAGUUAGAGCCCGUUAAUGGGUGAUAGCGUGCCUUUUGUAGAAUGAACCGGCGAGUUACGAUUUGUUGCAAGGUUAAGCGGAAAAAGCGGAGCCGUAGCGAAAGCGAGUCUGAAUAGGGCGCAUAAGUAACAGGUCGUAGACCCGAAACCAGGUGAUCUACCCAUGUCCAGGAUGAAGGUAAGGUAAUACUUACUGGAGGUCCGAACCCACGCACGUUGAAAAGUGCGGGGAUGAGGUGUGGGUAGCGGAGAAAUUCCAAUCGAACUUGGAGAUAGCUGGUUCUCUCCGAAAUAGCUUUAGGGCUAGCCUCGAGGUAAAGAGUCAUGGAGGUAGAGCACUGUUUGGACUAGGGGCCCUUCUCGGGUUACCGAAUUCAGAUAAACUCCGAAUGCCAUGUACUUAUACUCGGGAGUCAGACUGCGAGUGAUAAGAUCCGUAGUCGAAAGGGAAACAGCCCAGACCACCAGUUAAGGUCCCCAAAUAUAUGUUAAGUGGAAAAGGAUGUGGGGUUGCUUAGACAACCAGGAUGUUGGCUUAGAAGCAGCCACCAUUGAAAGAGUGCGUAAUAGCUCACUGGUCGAGUGACCCCGCGCCGAAAAUGUACCGGGGCUAAACAUAUUACCGAAACUGUGGAUGAACCUCUUUAGAGGUUCGUGGUAGGAGAGCGUUCUAAGGGCGGUGAAGUCAGACCGGAAGGACUGGUGGAGCGCUUAGAAGUGAGAAUGCCGGUAUGAGUAGCGAAAGAAGGGUGAGAAUCCCUUCCACCGAAUAUCUAAGGUUUCCUGAGGAAGGCUCGUCCGCUCAGGGUUAGUCGGGACCUAAGCCGAGGCCGAUAGGCGUAGGCGAUGGACAACAGGUAGAGAUUCCUGUACCAGUGCUAAUUGUUUAACCGAUGGGGUGACACAGAAGGAUAGGGAAUCGCACGAAUGGAAAUGUGCGUCCAAGCAGUGAGUGUGAGAAGUAGGCAAAUCCGCUUCUCGCGAAGCAUGAGCUGUGAUGGGGAAGGAAAUUAAGUACGGAAGUUCCUGAUUUCACGCUGUCAAGAAAAGCCUCUAGGAAGAGUAGUACUGCCCGUACCGCAAACCGACACAGGUAGAUGAGGAGAGAAUCCUAAGGUGAGCGAGAGAACUCUCGUUAAGGAACUCGGCAAAAUGACCCCGUAACUUCGGGAGAAGGGGUGCUCUAUUAGGGUGCAAGCCCGAGAGAGCCGCAGUGAAUAGGCCCAGGCGACUGUUUAGCAAAAACACAGGUCUCUGCAAAACCGUAAGGUGACGUAUAGGGGCUGACGCCUGCCCGGUGCUGGAAGGUUAAGAGGAGUGCUUAGCUUCGGCGAAGGUACGAAUUGAAGCCCCAGUAAACGGCGGCCGUAACUAUAACGGUCCUAAGGUAGCGAAAUUCCUUGUCGGGUAAGUUCCGACCCGCACGAAAGGCGCAACGAUCUGGGCACUGUCUCAACGAGAGACUCGGUGAAAUUAUAGUACCUGUGAAGAUGCAGGUUACCCGCGACAGGACGGAAAGACCCCGUGGAGCUUUACUGCAACCUGAUAUGGAAUGUUUGUACCGCUUGUACAGGAUAGGUAGGAGCCGAAGAGACGUGUGCGCUAGCAUACGAGGAGGCAAUGGUGGGAUACUACCCUGGCUGUAUGACCAUUCUAACCCGCCACGCUUAGCGCGUGGGGAGACAGUGUCAGGUGGGCAGUUUGACUGGGGCGGUCGCCUCCUAAAGAGUAACGGAGGCGCCCAAAGGUUCCCUCAGAAUGGAUGGAAAUCAUUCGCAGAGUGUAAAGGCACAAGGGAGCUUGACUGCGAGACUGACAAGUCGAGCAGGGACGAAAGUCGGGCUUAGUGAUCCGGUGGUUCCGCAUGGAAGGGCCAUCGCUCAACGGAUAAAAGCUACCCCGGGGAUAACAGGCUUAUCUCCCCCAAGAGUCCACAUCGACGGGGAGGUUUGGCACCUCGAUGUCGGCUCGUCGCAUCCUGGGGCUGUAGUCGGUCCCAAGGGUUGGGCUGUUCGCCCAUUAAAGCGGCACGCGAGCUGGGUUCAGAACGUCGUGAGACAGUUCGGUCCCUAUCCGUCGCGGGCGCAGGAAAUUUGAGAGGAGCUGUCCUUAGUACGAGAGGACCGGGAUGGACACACCGCUGGUGUACCAGUUGUUCCGCCAGGAGCAUCGCUGGGUAGCUAUGUGUGGCAGGGAUAAACGCUGAAAGCAUCUAAGCGUGAAGCCCCCCUCAAGAUGAGAUUUCCCAUUUCUUCGGAAAGUAAGAUCCCUGAAAGAUGAUCAGGUAGAUAGGUUUGGAGUGGAAGUGUAGCGAUACAUGGAGCGGACAAAUACUAAUCGAUCGAGGACUUAACCAAAA